rnacentral:lncRNA from 1 species
AGGAAAUAUUGCAUAACAACAAAAUGUAUUAUUUUAUUCAUCAUCAUCAUCAACGUUGUUUAAAAUUAUCAGAAGAUGAUAUUUUCUACUAGAAUUGAAUGCGGCCUAUUACGCAAAGUGCAUUAGUGCAAGACUCCGCGUAUCUGUUGCUCCUGAAAGACUACGAUACAUUUCCAUUUGGAUCCCAUUCAAAGUUAGCACGUGCAUAGCGCACGUGUAUUCUUUUGCCCUCUUAAAAUCUACGUCUACGAUAGUCCGCACCAUCGACGAUUAAUAACACCGACGAACCUGCAUCGAUUUCGUUCUACAAUAUACACAACUUGAUAAUGAUCGAGACAAGUGGACCACUCUGUAUAGAAAUCAUGGACCUGUUCAGGAUGUUGAUCUUUAGACGAAUAGUGAUUUCUAAUCUCUUCUCGAUUGCUCAAGAAAUUCCUUAUUUUAUGGAAGGUACAACGAACAAGCACGUAAUCCGUUCAUGGCAUUGUUAUCUUGAAGGCACACGGCUAAUUAACCACGCACGUCCCUCUUGGCUCCACCUCUGAAGACUUGCCUAUACAUCCGGUCCUUUUAUAACAACAACAACAACAACAAAAAAGAAUUUCUCACGGGAAUUGCACGUGCAGGUAAACUCAUCGCAACGCACAAACAGGUUUUAUUACGCAAGAAUAUUACAAACGUAAAUUCCAUCGAGAAGUUUAAUGUUUUGUCGAAAACCUUAUGAAGAAAAACAUCGUAAGAGAGAAAGUUCUAUCCAGAAUCAAAAAUUGGUUGUAAUAAAUGACGACAAAUAAUGUUGAUAAUGAGGAAUAGAUCUUUAUUUGUACGUUGAUCUAAUAAUUGCAUUGCUAAUUGCAAGGAGCAAGGAAUUAGAAUUGGAACAAUUUCUAGCGAGUCUAAUUAAAAUGAUAAAUGGAAGAACAGAAGUAUAAUAAAUAAUGAGAAAACAAAUAAGGGAUAUUACGAGCAAUGGAAAGAAACAAAAAAAAAAUGAAAAAGGGAAAAAUAAGUUGAACGAUCUCCGAUUAUAUUCUGAUUCAGGAGGAACGAGACUCACGUUGGAUCGUGCUGCUGCUCGAAGACGGCACGGUAUACAUCUUGUCUCGUCUUUGGUAUACACUCAAUUCUUGCUUUCACUUUCUCACAUGGUGGAAACGAGAAGAAACCCUCUUCAUCCGCUCUCCCAUCUCCUCCUCCUCCUCCUCCAUCACCAUCACCACCAACAUGUAACAACGAUCUCCUUUUAGGAUCGUCCUUCUCUCUUUCAUGAAUUUAUCGGUUCGUUUUGCAAAGAACAUUUGCUUCAAUAACUCUGAUUUAUUGAAUAAUGUAUUAUACAGUCAAACUAAAAGUUUCAUUCCAAAUAUGCUCACGUAAUAUCUAAAACAUAGGACAGAGUUUAACUUGUGUGGGCUGAUGAAAGGAAAACCGGAAAGAAUAUAAAUCGUUUGAUUGAGGACAUAUGUAAGAAGAUUUGAAGAAUUUCUUCAUGCUUUCUCCAACGAACGUUGACGGUAACUACUAAGAUCGUUAAAGUACAUGCCGUAUAUGUGAUGUUGCAGUCACGUAGGUCAGGAUCAUAAGAGUGUAAUUUAUUGUUUUUGUAUAAAAGAAAUUUUUUAAAGUUCAAAUUACACUUGAAAGAGACACGCACUGUGGAAAGUAUUAAAUUGAACCACGCCUUCGUAUUUAUCUCUGUAAAGACAAGAAACAACAAGAUAACAAAACAAAAAAUUGUCCUUUUCUCUUAGAGGGAAAAAAUAUUAUUGCUGUGGUAAACAUCAUUCGAAUGACACACGGAAGGCCAAGAAAAAUCUUGCACUUUCACCGUGUUAAUGGAAGAUGCGCCAAGGGAAAAAGACAGAGAGGAAUAUAGGAACUCUCUUACUCGUUUAUUAAAUGAUGCUACACAACACUGACAUGUAUACGCGUAUAUCUCGAAUCAAAAUUAAUUGACGGAAGUGCGAUGUAUUUCGCAUACGUUUAGCACCUUUUUAGCAUCCGCUUGAGCAAGAAACUUUGUUGGGGACACUAUAACCAUGCAUCCGUUCGUGAUUAAAAAAAAAAACGAAAAA